rnacentral:rRNA from 1 species
GUCUACAGCCAUAUCAUCCUGAACGCGCCUGAUCUCAUCUGAUCUCGGAAGCUUAGCCGAGUUGCGCCUGUUUAGUACUUGGAUGGGAGACCACCUGGAAAUACUGGCCACUGUAGGCU